CCCUGUAUUCGAAAGUGAUCAUGGGCUACCCGUGCCCUGGUCAUUGAUAGUGCAGGGAGAGGAAUUGCUGAAAGCAUUUCCCCGUGUUUGGAGGGUCUGCAUUUGUCCCUUUCAAACUCUGGAGCUUUUGUACA
rnacentral:snoRNA from 17 species